GUGUUGACUGAGACAAUACAUGACUUGCCAGAAGCCACAAAGCCAGAAAGCGGACACGGUUGCUAUUGAAAUCCUUUGUAUCUUUCUCAAAUGCCUAGGUAGACCAAAUCAUCGUCAUUGUGAAUGGAUUCCUGGACCUUUCUGUGGGGCCACCCUAGCUGUGGUAAUCAGAGUCAAAGGAUGCACAGGAUCAGACACACAAAAUCAUCCAGUAAAGAGGGCAGUAAGAAGUCAGGAGUUUGGAAAGCAGUGAAAUCAGUGAAGCAAACUAAACAAAAACUAAGCUGUCAUCAGCAUGGAUGAUGGAAAUCAUAACCCAGGUGAAAGCAGGACUGGAAGGUCAAAGGUAAGUUAUGAUGGUCAUCACCAUAACACCAGACAUCAGGACAAGAAGAGUAUCAUGAC
rnacentral:lncRNA from 1 species